AGCGGCAGACGGGUGAGUAACGCGUGGGAAUCUACCUUGAGCUACGGGAUAACAGAGAGAAAUUUCUGCUAAUACCGUAUGUGGCCUUUGGGCGAAAGAUUUAUCGGCUUAAGAUGAGCCCGCGUUGGAUUAGCUGGUUGGUGGGGUAAAGGCCUACCAAGGCGACGAUCCAUAGCUGGUCUGAGAGGAUGAUCAGCCACACUGGGACUGAGACACGGCCCAGACUCCUACGGGAGGCAGCAGUGGGGAAUAUUGGACAAUGGGCGCAAGCCUGAUCCAGCCAUGCCGCGUGAGUGAAGAAGGCCUUAGGGUUGUAAAGCUCUUUCACCGGUGAAGAUAAUGACGGUAGCCGGAGAAGAAGCCCCGGCUAACUUCGUGCCAGCAGCCGCGGUAAUACGAAGGGGGCUAGNGUUGUUCGGAUUUACUGGGCGUAAAGCGCGCGUAGGCGGAUAGAUAAGUCAGAGGUGAAAUCCCGGGGCUCAACCCCGGAAUUGCCUUUGAUACUGUUUAUCUUGAGUGCAGAAGAGGUAAGUGGAAUUCCGAGUGUAGAGGUGAAAUUCGUAGAUAUUCGGAGGAACACCAGUGGCGAAGGCGGCUUACUGGUCUGCAACUGACGCUGANGCGCGAAAGCGUGGGGAGCANACAGGAUUAGAUACCCUGGUAGUCCACGCUGUAAACGAUGGAAGCCAGCCGUCGGCANAUUUAUUUGUCGGUGGCGCANCUAACGCAUUAAGCUUCCCGCCUGGGGAGUACGGNCGCAAGAUUAAAACUCA
rnacentral:rRNA from 2 species